rnacentral:rRNA from 1 species
GUGGCGAACGGGUGAGUAACACGUGGGCAACCUGCCCCUGGCUCUGGGAUAACUCCAAGAAAUUGGGGCUAAUACCGGAUGUGACUGCUGACCGCAUGGUCUGGUGGUGGAAAGAUUUAUCGGCUGGGGAUGGGCCCGCGGCCUAUCAGCUUGUUGGUGGGGUGAUGGCCUACCAAGGCGACGACGGGUAGCCGGCCUGAGAGGGUGACCGGCCACACUGGGACUGAGACACGGCCCAGACUCCUACGGGAGGCAGCAGUGGGGAAUAUUGCGCAAUGGGCGGAAGCCUGACGCAGCGACGCCGCGUGGGGGAUGACGGCCUUCGGGUUGUAAACCUCUUUCAGCAGGGACGAAGCCGUGAGGUGACGGUACCUGCAGAAGAAGCACCGGCCAACUACGUGCCAGCAGCCGCGGUAAUACGUAGGGUGCAAGCGUUGUCCGGAAUUAUUGGGCGUAAAGAGCUCGUAGGCGGUCUGUCGCGUCGGCUGUGAAAACCCGGAGCUCAACUCCGGGCCUGCAGUCGAUACGGGCAAACUGGAGUGUUGCAGGGGAGACUGGAAUUCCUGGUGUAGCGGUGAAAUGCGCAGAUAUCAGGAGGAACACCGGUGGCGAAGGCGGGUCUCUGGGCAACAACUGACGCU